rnacentral:rRNA from 1 species
GGCCAGACUCCUACGGGAGGCAGCAGUGGGGAAUAUUGCACAAUGGGGGAAACCCUGAUGCAGCGACGCCGCGUGAGUGAAGAAGUAUUUCGGUAUGUAAAGCUCUAUCAGCAGGGAAGAAGUUGACGGUACCUGAGUAAGAAGCCCCGGCUAACUACGUGCCAGCAGCCGCGGUAAUACGUAGGGGGCAAGCGUUAUCCGGAUUUACUGGGUGUAAAGGGAGCGUAGACGGCAGUGCAAGUCUGAAGUGAAAGCCCCGGGCUUAACCCGGGAAUUGCUUUGGAAACUGUACGGCUGGAGUGCUGGAGAGGUAAGCGGAAUUCCUAGUGUAGCGGUGAAAUGCGUAGAUAUUAGGAGGAACACCAGUGGCGAAGGCGGCUUACUGGACAGUAACUGACGUUGAGGCUCGAAAGCGUGGGGAGCAAACAGGAUUAGAUACCCUCGUAU